CCUACGGGAGGCUGCAGUGAGGAAUAUUGGUCAAUGGACGAGAGUCUGAACCAGCCAAGUAGCGUGAAGGAUGACUGCCCUAUGGGUUGUAAACUUCUUUUAUAUGGGAAUAAAACGUUCCACGUGUGGGAUUUUGUAUGUACCAUAUGAAUAAGGAUCGGCUAACUCCGUGCCAGCAGCCGCGGUAAUACGGAGGAUCCGAGCGUUAUCCGGAUUUAUUGGGUUUAAAGGGAGCGUAGGUGGAUUGUUAAGUCAGUUGUGAAAGUUUGCGGCUCAACCGUAAAAUUGCAGUUGAAACUGGCAGUCUUGAGUACAGUAGAGGUGGGCGGAAUUCGUGGUGUAGCGGUGAAAUGCUGAGAUAUCACGAAGAACUCCGAUUGCGAAGGCAGUUCACUGGACUGCAACUGACACUGAGGCUCGAAAGUGUGGGUAUCAAACAGGAUUAGAUACCCCUGUAGUC
rnacentral:rRNA from 1 species